CCCUCGAUUGAAUCGUGAUUAUUAAUCACGAUCUGAUUAUUUGCAUAAUACCCCUAAAAUUGAUCGAUUAUUUGCAUAAAACCCCUCUCGUCCUUGUCCUCCUCCUCAUCCCCUUGCCGUCAGGCGAUGACGACGGCGAGACCUGCCUCUUCCUCGCGCAUGGAUUGCAGGUCUUCCUCCGCCUUGCCUCUUGAUUUUCGCCACGAUCCUCCAUUCAGUUCCGCCUCCAACUCAAACAGGAGAGCGAGGUCAGUGGGAGGACGACGAGCAGGAAACUAGGAAAGGGAUGCGAACUGAACUUCGGCGGCAGGCGGGACGGUGCCGCUGGAUACACAGCCUUACCGUCGCCGCCUAUCAGUCAGGAGAUAUUGGAUUCGCGGACUCUUCCACGGUCACGGCAGCGGCUGAAUUGCGGACGCGCGUCCAAUGAAUUUUUUUGCAAACAUUUAGCUGCUUAUACUUGAUUUGAUCUUCUUUUGCAGAGAUGGUUCGCCGUCAGCGUUGAUGGAAGCGGCGGAAUCGAUGCUGGAGCAGCUUUUGGCUUUGUUGCUUGCUCGCGAGUAGAAACUCCAAUUAGCAGCUCAAGCUCAAAUUGAGAUGUCUGUUUGCUGGGAAAUGGAAACAACGAAAUCAUAUCUGGUAGUAGAAUUAAGAUGGCAAGCUUAUGUAUUCUGAGGUGCCCAUGUACCUAGAUCUGAGCUCUGAAGUCUGAACUAUGAACUAACAAACAAAUUCAGGAUUCAGAAAAGAAAGGGAAAAUCACAUAACAGAAAUUUUCUUUUCAAAGCUAAAAAUAAUAAACCUGUCAGAAAAAACUCUGGCCAGAGUCUGGGCUGACCUCAAUCUUUGGACAGUUAGUCAGUUACAACACUACCAGAACACAGAUAUUGUGGACCUGUCUGAAUAAUUUGAUUAAUAUAACAGCAAGGUUUGCUCACCCAAGUUCAGAUGUUGCUUCCUUCCCCCUUUUCCUCUUUGUGCUUACUACUACUAUCAGAAUCAUCACUAAAGGCAAAGCAAAUAUUCGACAAAAAAAACGCCGAAAGCAAACGAAGGAACUACAAAAGAAGAAACCACAGAACAUUCACAUCGUCUAUGUACAGAAGAAGAAACACACCUAUCUCACCAUCUUUGUUAUUUACAUCUGAGGUCCCUGAGGCAAUCUGCCCAUGAACUGCUGGACAAGCCCUGCACAACCCUGCAUUUUUGGAGGUUGGCCAGGUACAGAUGCUGGCAUGAAGGUUCUCAGAGAUGGUACUGGUACCGCCAUGCCAGGCGGGAGCAUUCCGAAGGAGAAACCGCCUGAAGCUGCGCUAAGUUGCGAUGGGAGACAAAGUGAGCCGUAGGCAGCAGCAGCACUCAACUGUGGGAUGCUGGGUUGUGCCGGUUCUGGCCUCUGGUGAAGGUUGCUACCCUGUGGCGCAGCACUGGAACUGGAGUUCGGUUGCCCACUGCUGUUUCUGGCAGCUGGAACUUCAUGGUUGUGCUUGCCCUCAUAGGUGGUGAUCACGGACUUGAGAUCAUUUGAGGCUCUCUCCACAUGCUUGCGCACGGAGCAGCCUGCGUAAGUGCAUUUAUAGUAGCUCCUGCAGACACAUAGAUUUCUUUGUUAAUGGUGAACUAUUGAAAAGCUAAGAUCUCCAUAUUUUUUUGAAAAGUAAUUUUUUUCCUUUCAAAGGUUAAGGUUUCCAAUCGAUUUGGUUUCCUAAUAAACUAAGGAAGAGAUGGAAAUGACACUACAUAGCUGACCUCGGGUUUGGAUUUCCUUUGACAACUUUCUGCCCAUACUUGCGCCAGCGGUAACCAUCAUCAAGGAUGUCAACCUCACUUGUGGUCUGCACAACAAUCUGAGGUUCCCGGACAGCUCUUGAUGCCAUAGUUGCCAUGUCAAAGGCAUUGGUGGUAGCGUUAGUAGUGGCAGAAACCUCCAUCUUCCUGAAAGAAGUUCAAAGGAACACAUGAGCAUUGGUUUAACGGGAUUGCAUGCUCAUAUUAUAUAGUUGGUCACAAGACCCAACCUUCUUUUAGAUUCAGUCUCAUCUUCAUCCCUACCAUAGGUUAAGGGAAUGGUACCAUGGGUUGCCCUGUCAUCUUUUUCAUUGGAUGAGACUGUUGGUGAGACA